GCCAAUGUGGCAUAGUGGCUUGAGUUUUGGAUUAGGACUCUGGGAGUCCAGGGUUCAAAUCCCUGCACAGACU